GAUGAAGAACGUAGCGAAAUGCGAUAAGUAAUGUGAAUUGCAGAAUCCAGUGAAUCAUCGAAUCUUUGAACGCACAUUGCGCCCGCCAGCAUUCUGGCGGGCAUGCCUGUUCGAGCGUCAUUUCAACCCUCGACCUCCCCUUGGAGAGGUCGGCGUUGGGGACCGGCAGCACACCGCCGGCCCUGAAAUGGAGUGGCGGCCCGUCUGCGGCGACCUCUGCGUAGUAAUACAGCUCGCACCGGAACCCCGACGCGGCCACGCCGUAAAACACCCAACUUCUGAACGUUGACCUCGAAUCAGGUAGGACUACCCGCUGAACUUAAGCAUAUCAAUAAGCGGAGGA
rnacentral:misc_RNA from 1 species